rnacentral:piRNA from 1 species
UCUGAUGGGUGAUGGAAAGAAAAGACUCU